rnacentral:rRNA from 1 species
UACGUAGGUGGCAAGCGUUGUCCGGAAUUAUUGGGCGUAAAGCGCGCGCAGGCGGUCCUUUAAGUCUGAUGUGAAAGCCCACGGCUCAACCGUGGAGGGUCAUUGGAAACUGGGGGACUUGAGUGCAGAAGAGGAAAGCGGAAUUCCACGUGUAGCGGUGAAAUGCGUAGAGAUGUGGAGGAACACCAGUGGCGAAGGCGGCUUUCUGGUCUGUAACUGACGCUGAGAUGCGAAAGCGUGGGGAGCAAACAGG